GGCGAGUGGCGGACGGGUGAGGAAUACAUCGGAAUCUACUUUUUCGUGGGGGAUAACGUAGGGAAACUUACGCUAAUACCGCAUACGACCUACGGGUGAAAGCAGAGGAUCUUAGGGCCUUGCGCGAUUGAAUGAGCCGAUGUCGGAUUAGCUAGUUGGCGGGGUAAAGGCCCACCAAGGCGACGAUCCGUAGCUGGUCUGAGAGGAUGAUCAGCCACACUGGAACUGAGACACGGUCCAGACUCCUACGGGAGGCAGCAGUGGGGAAUAUUGGACAAUGGGCGCAAGCCUGAUCCAGCCAUACCGCGUGGGUGAAGAA
rnacentral:rRNA from 1 species